CAGUGCUGACAUUAGUGGUUGUCAGAAUAAUGUCAGCCUGUGACAUCCUGCUGCAAGGCGAGCUCUAGGACAAUGACAAAGGCACCUCCUCCUAGGUAGAGGCCUUGUUUGUUGCAGACCACUGGAUUAAAUCUUGAAAUAGAAUAUCUUCUCUUUUCAGAAGAGGAUCAUGUCAUGGGCCUAACUGCUUCUCAGGCUGGGGAUGUCUCCACAGAGCUCACAGUGGACAGAGUGGCAGCAGCUCUGCAAGACCUGCAGCAGCACCUGGAGCAUUCCCAGAAAGAUCUGAAUGAUGCAAGGAACAGGAUACAGGCCUUGGAGCUGGAGCUGGGCACGGGACAGGAUCAGAUGGACAAUCUCAGAGCCAGCAAUCAGGAGCUGCAGAUACAGUUGGAUGAAAGUCGGGCAGCAAUGUUGAGGGCAGAACACCAGAAGACCUCUCUAGAAACUGCCUUGAAGGAAGAAACCAUUACCCUGAAGGAAGAGGCUGUGACUCUUCGUCAGGAGGUGGCAUCUCUGAAAAAGAAAUUGGAAAACCUGGAG
rnacentral:lncRNA from 1 species